UUUUGAAUAUAUGUGAUGGGGAGAGUGGAAUGGGAGAUCCAGAAACCACACACAUAUAUGACUGACCAGAAAGAAUUAUUUCUUUGCCCCUAGAACCUUGGAGGGGGUAAAUUACAGGUUAUGCCUCAAUUGGAUCACUGGUUCCCCCCACCGCCUGUACACUUCUGCGCACAAGAGAUCCUCCUCCAAAGUGAUUGCUUCAUACCAAAUAAAUCUGACCGCAGGUUCCCACCAAGAUUCGAACCUCCACCCCAAGAUUCGAACCUCGACCCUGCUGCUGGAAGCAAGACAAAUGUUGAUUGAUCCACCAGUUGAACUGUGCCCCAAGGGGCGACUAUUACCCAAUUUUAAAUGACACGAGGGAGAGAUGGCAUAAAGUAUUCAAUGUGGCUUUAGAGCCUAAUUCAUCCACUAGUGAAUGUUUUUUCUGGACUAUUGGGAAAUAGAGUAGUAAAGGCUGGAGCCUGGAGGUGGAAAUGUCUUGGCAGUAUUAAAGUGGGGGCAUUGAAUUAUUGAUAUAUUCCCGCAUUGAUGGUGAAAGGCAUAGAUAAUAUUAAAUCAAUUGCUGUUGUAUAUACUACAUGCAAAUCAAUUUUGCUUCUGUUUUGUUGCUUACUGGAGUCCACUAUCAGUUUAUGUGAGAGUAAGGUUCAUAAUCA